rnacentral:lncRNA from 1 species
AGAGACCAUGCCUAGUAAGCCAAGCUCCUACAACUUGCCAUGCCAAAAAAAAAGAAGGAAAGGCCUUGUAUGGAUUUCAGGUUCUUUGCUUGACCAAGAAGCAACCUAUCUUUGACACAAAGCAACUCACUUGAUCUUUGAUCGAGUUGAGUUUGCUUUGGAUCAAAGAAGGUUAAGCCUCUCAUAUGUCUAGACUAACCAUAAAUCAUUAACUCAUAGGCCAAAAGAAAAAGAAGAAGAAAAGAGAUGAAGAUG